rnacentral:rRNA from 1 species
ACGGAGGGUGCAAGCGUUAUUCGGAAUUACUGGGCGUAAAGAGCGUGCAGGCGGAUAUAUAAGUCAGAAGUGAAAUCCCAUAGCUUAACCAUUGAACUGCUUUUGAAACUGUAUAUCUUGAAUGUGGGAGAGGUAGAUGGAAUUUCUGGUGUAGGGGUAAAAUCCGUAGAGAUCGGGAGGAAUACCGAUUGCGAAGGCGAUCUACUGGAACAUUAUUGACGCUGAGACGCGAAAGCGUGGGGAGCAAACAG